GGAAUAUUGGUCAAUGGGCGAGAGCCUGAACCAGCCAAGUAGCGUGCAGGACGACUGCCCUAUGGGUUGUAAACUGCUUUUAUGCGGGGAUAAAGUGGCGCACGUGUGCGUUUUUGCAGGUACCGCAUGCAUAAGGACCGGCUAAUUCCGUGCCAGCAGCCGCGGUAAUACGGAAGGUCCGGGCGUUAUCCGGAUUUAUUGGGUUUAAAGGGAGCGCAGGCGGAGGAUUAAGCGUGACGUGAAAUGUCCCGGCUCAACCGUGGAACUGCGUCGCGAACUGGUUUUCUUGAGUGAGUGCGACGUCGGCGGAAUUCGUGGUGUAGCGGUGAAAUGCUUAGAUAUCACGAAGAACCCCGAUUGCGAAGGCAGCCGACGAGUCCUUAACUGACGCUAAAGCUCGAAAGUGCGGGUAUCGAACA
rnacentral:rRNA from 1 species